UGCAGUAGCCACUGGAUUUGCAGCAGAAACACUCUGCUACAGAACAAGUGUCUUGGUUCACAGCAAAGAGGACAAAGAAAACAGCAAGUUUUAGGGGGUUGAAUCCUGGAUUCCCCUGGCAAACACCAUUCUACUUUCCGUCUCUAUGAAUUUGACUACUCGAAGUACCUCAUGUGAAAUGUUGGUGCCAAAUGAACUUUUCUGGUUCUUCUGAAUAUGCCACUGUUGCUGGAGAAAUGUCACUGCUAGAGAACAGAAGACUAUUAUUCCAAAGGGUAUUUGAGACUGACUGAAUCAGGUCUGGAACAUUAUUGAAAUGAGACCCACAAAAGAAGAGAUACUGAGAUCAUUUGCUCCAGAAGAAGCUGGUUGCCAUGUCUUGAGGACAGUAAACCCUCUGGGGAGGUUCCUGUGGUAAGGAACAAGGGCUCCUGGCAAUAGCCUCUGAGUGAGCCACCUUGAAAAUGGAUUGUCCAGCCCCAGUCAAGCUUUCAGAUGACUGUAGCUCCUGCCAAUGUCUUCACCACAACCUCAUGAGAUCCCAAGCUACAACCACUCAGAACUUCAUCUUUUGGGAAGCACCAGGGAGAGCUGCCUGUGCCUGGCAGAAGCUGCCCAUGCCCCACUGAUACCCCACAGUACUUCCUGUUCUGCUUAGUACUCCUGCUUCUUUCUACAAACAACUGUGAUUCUCUACCUGGGAGCUUCCUCUGGCCACAGGAGCCUGCUCACCUGAUUGGGACACCCUAGCAGUACUGGCUCAUAGAUGGAAGGGACUUGCCUUGUCGCUGAUGAGACUUUCGACUUGGACUUUUGAGUCAAUGCUGGAAUGAGUUAAGACUUUGGGGAACUGUUGGAAGGGUGUGAUUGUGUUUUGAAUUGUGAGGACAUGAGAUUUUGAAGAGGCUAAUGGCAGCGUCCCCACCUAAAUCUCUUCUUGAAUUGUAGUUCCCAUAAUCCCCACGUGUCGUGGGGUGGAGCCGGUGGAGAUAAUUGAAUCAUGGGAACACUUUCCCCCAUGCUGUUAUUGUGAUUGUGAAUUCUCACGAGAUCUGAUGGUUGUAUAAACGCCUUCCCUCUUCGCUGGGCACUCAUUUUUCUCCUUCCUGCCACCAUGUGAAGAAGGAUAUGCUUGCUUCUUGUGCCAUGAUUACAAGAACACACUCAGAAAUUUUCUCAACACAGUUUCUAUGCAGAGAAGAGAUGUGGGACAGAUUUGAACUGCUGUCAUAUUUGUAUGAACCCAAGACAUUUUCCAAGACCAAGAGGGAUAAAGACAGCAAUUUCUAUGACUGGCAUUUUACGUGCAUGCACUGUUUCCAAGUGUUCUUGUGUUCUGUGCCUUAAACAUUCUGUGUUGCAACUUUAUGAAUUGAAUUAAAGAUAAUCCCAAGCCCCCAAUUGUCUCAAAAAGUGAAAAAGUAAAUGUUAUAGAAAGAAAAGCGGGAAAAACUUUAAGCAUGAAAUAAAAGAUGGGUUGUGAUAAAAGAGGACUGAAGAAGGAAAAGGAAUGAAAGGUUCUGCCAUCCUUCAUGGCAGCCCACUCCACUUGGUAUGAGAUACUGCUCCCUUGGCUGAAAGUUAACUGCUGUACUCCCUCCACUUUCUAUAAAUGACUCCCUGUGCCUUUCCUUCACCACACAACUCACACUCUCUUCCUUCCUAGUGAGUCCACUAAGGCUUCACUGCAUUAUUACAUUUAUUUCAUUUAGGAAAAACUGACUUUAUUUUCCUUCAAAUUGUUUUUUAUUGUUUAUAUGAGCUUGGUUUUAUUGUCAUUCUAUUUUUCUCCAUGAAAAUAGAGAAAAAUAGGGUCGAAAGGUUAGGUUGGGUGGAAAGGAAUUAUAUUUUUUCUCACUAAAAUUGAUGUAAAUAUCGUUUUCAAUUGAAUGAUUUUACACAGUGGCACAGUUUCAGGUAUGUUGCUAAGCAGGAAAGUUGUUAACCAAAGCAUGAAUGUAUUAAGGAGAUGUAUGCAGAAUGACAUGCAAGGUUAUCUAUGAUUGCUGAGUGAGAAAGAGCAAGUUGCUGAGUAUUAUAUAAGUAUGAUCUCACUUUUGUAAAAAAAAAAAAAAAAAAAGGCCUGGACUGAUCUGAAAUGACCCUAUUAAUAACAAUUAUGUCCAGGUCUGUAUUGCAUACUUGUCAUUCAUUACAGGAUCUUGAGACACAAUGCAAAGGAUCACAUCGCAGCUCUGUAACUUGUUAACUAUAAGAUUUUGAGUAACAUAACACCUUACUCCUUAAAAUUGCUUAAAAAAAAUCUGAACAUCAGGAAUAUUCUACUUCACAGGGUCGUUGUGAUAAUUAAAUGUAGUAAUCAAUGACAAUAGUGCCAGAUACAGUAGAUAGCCUACACUUUGCAGCUACUAUUUCUAUCUAUCAUCCAUCUAUUAAUAUAUAUCAUCUAUCUUUAACUUAUCAUCUAUCUUGUUCCAGUUUUUUAAAAUGAACAUGUAUUAACUUUGUAAAAAAUUAAGGCUAUAAGAUGUGCUGAGCUUUUGGAAUAGAUUUUCCUGUACUAUAUAUGACUGCCAGUGGGAGAAUUUGAAUAAAUGUGUAAAUUUGACUAAAUCUGAAUAAAUGUUCAUUUGACGGGACCAUAGAUUUGGGGGUCUAGCACUAGCUCUGUUUCUACACUCCUGCUGCUGCCUGAUAGAGAUGCCUCUCUUGUUUUGGACUCCAAGGUAAAGUAAGCCUUUUCAUUUUGUGCAUCAUAAUUUAAAAUGACAAAUGGAAUCUAUUUUUUUCUCCAUCUAACGCAUAUAUAGCUACCAUUUAUUAAUUCUUGUUUCCUUCUUAUGUUGCUCUUUGUUGUCAUUUUUAAGGGAAGAAGAGACUGGGUCACGGGAAUGCUUUAAUGUGGAAACCCUGAAUUCGUUCCACACAUCUGCCUUCUGGGGACACAGGUAAAUGAGGCCGAGUAGUGAAGUGGGAAGUUCCUGAAAAUGUGACAGCAAGCCUCUGUCCACUGCCAGACCGAAGACAGGGAGGCGCUCAUCGGCAAAUUAAUGGAUGUUAAAGGGAAGCAAAAUAACACCAAGAUAGACUCAUGAAUU
rnacentral:lncRNA from 10 species